CCUACGGGCGGCAGCAGUGAGGAAUAUUGGUCAAUGGGCGCGAGCCUGAACCAGCCAAGUAGCGUGAAGGAUGACUGCCCUACGGGUUGUAAACUUCUUUUAUAAAGGAAUAAAGUGAGGCACGUGUGCCUUUUUGCAUGUACUUUAUGAAUAAGGAUAGGCAAACUCCGUGCCAGCAGCCGCGGUAAUACGGAGGAUCCGAGCGUUAUCCGGAUUUAUUGGGUUUAAAGGGAGCGUAGAUGGGUUGUUAAGUCAGUUGUGAAAGUUUGCGGCUCAACCGUAAAAUUGCAAUUGAUACUGGCAGUCUUGAGUGCAGAUGAGGUAGGCGGAAUUCGUGGUGUAGCGGUGAAAUGCUUAGAUAUCACGAAGAACUCCGAUUGCGAAGGCAGCUUUCUAAUCUGCCACUGACAUUGAGGCUCGAAAGUGUGGGUAUCAAACAGGAUUAGAUACCCCUGUAGUC
rnacentral:rRNA from 1 species